AAGUCCCUGCAGUUUUAUUCUUUUUCAAAGAUUUUUCUGGUUUUAUCUUGAACAUUUACAAAUUGAUUGCUGAUUCCUCCCGAGCUUGUACAGCACUGUUGUUAGUUGGAAUGUUCUUUGGCACAGAUGGUCUGUUUGCCGAAGAGACCAGCUUCCUUUUGUAGUGGCCCAGCUGUGCCCUUCCUUGGGCUUGAGGCACCAGCGCUAUCCAGCUUUUUGCUCUGGGCUUUGGGCUGUCUAGGAAUCUUCUUGACUGUAAAUGCGGUGGUAACGUGGAAUGUUUUCUUGCGCACCAAGCUUUCUGUGUCACGAUAUCUCAAAAUGACAGGUUUUUCUGUUCUUACUAAGAACAGAAAAACUGUGUAUGUCUUUGCAUGUUACAGAGACGUGACCUGAAAAUGGAGGCAGUUUUAAAAAUCCCUGUAGAUGAUUCUGCAUCUGGCAGAAGAUGGGGACAAGACCACACAUGUGGGGGAUUCAUCUCAGAGCGUAAUGAUCUAGUGUCUCAGAUACAUGACAAAUGCACAGCUCUUCCAUGGUCACUGUCGCAGGAAUGUUGAAUAUGCCUGGAUCCAUCAUGGUACCACGUUACUCCUCCACGGCACUACAUCUGGCCGCUAAACCAGCAUUCGGCACAUAAGCUUUUUUGAUGGUUGUUAAUUUUUUGAUGGGGAGUAUCAACUUCUUUUCAACAAUUAAUAGGUAGUUUAUGAGUGGUUUACCCUAUUUCUUAGUAUGUAGGUUUUUGCCAUUUCUGACUUCGCAGUAUUGUUUAGGGACCAGAGGGUGUCUCUGGGAAUUGCUUUUUGACAGUGCCUUAUGUCCAGUCAUCUUUGGAAAAGAUUGCUUAUUAAAAAUAUUUUGUUCUUCCGUCAUCUCAUUGUCAUUGGAGCACCAAGUGUCAUUGGAACUCUGAAGCUCUCUCUGCCCUUUAGGUUUGGACCAAGUGCUGUCAAAGCCAGAGAAAGUAGGAUUAAAGAUACUGAUCAGCCAGGACAGAUAGGGGUUUUCUGCUGGAAACUGCGAUACCUACCCUCGGUACAUGGGGAUAGCUCACAUAAGUGACUUGGUCACUUGGCAAGAUUUCUUCGCUUCUCGGAUAGCUGCAGGAAUUAAAACAUAGUGUAUAGAAUUUAGGUGUUUUACACUAAAAAUGAUAAUGUCUUGUUCCAAUUAAGAAUAGUAAACAGGUCCAAGUAUAGACAAUAAAUGAGAUUGGGAUUCUGUUCUCAUUUCUCAAUGUGAACAGUUACUCCCAUAUCAGCAUUAUUUUCUAUUUGGCCUUCUUAAAUACAGAGAAAAAAUAGGAUAUAUUAAUAGUAGGUCACUUGAAAAAGAAAAGAAAAAAAGUUCCCCAGUUUUCUAACUAUAGGAGAGGAGUUCCUAAGGUUCUACGCAUCCAUUAGAACUCACAGAGGUACAAGGAGGCGUACUCUUGAGUUUUGUUUAGAAAAUCACCUCAGUAAUGCCAAACCCUUCUUUAAAACACAUUAAUCUUUUCAAAUCUUCCUGAAAGCUUUGUCUAUCUCCAGUUGAUUGGGACUUCCGUAUGUUAAAGAAAAAUGAGAAUUGUAGGAAAAGUUGAGAGUAUGAGGUACAUUAGAAGUGACUUUAACACUCCACCAAAGUAAUUUUACCUUAUUUAGAGUUUGGAUUUGAAAUGGUUCAAAGGCUGUGAAUUCAAUAUUUGAUGUGAUUUUGGGAAGUAAAGGGGAAUGUCAGCAUCCUUUCGAUAAAAUUGAUAUUAUCAAUCUGAAGAAUGUUUCUUAGAUCAGUUGUGUCCAUAACUUGGGAGCAUUAGCUGUGAGACCUUGAAACAGAUUGGCCAUAUUCUUAUUUCACAUUGAUUAUUUAAAUGGACAAUUUUAGGUUACUGGUCUUUAUUCACUUGUUAUUGAAACCACAUGCACACUGACAAUCAGUGAAAAUCACUUUAUUUAUUUUAGAGACAGAGUCUCGACUGGGCGCAGCGGCUCAUGCCUAUAAUCCCAACACUUUGGGAGGCUGAGGCGGGUGGAUCACUUGAGGUCAGGAGUUCGAGACCAGCCUGACCAACAUGGUGAAACCUGUCUCUACUAAAAAUACAAAAAAUUAGCCGGACGUGGUACCGGGCGCCUGUAAUCCCAGCUACUCGGGAGGCUGAGGAAGGAGAAUCACUUGAACCUGGGAGGCAGAGGUUGCAGUGAGCCGAGAUCAUACCACUGCAUUCCAGCCUGGGUGACAGAGCCAGACUUUGUCUCAAAAAAAAAAAAAAAAAAAAAAAAAGAGAAAAGAGAGAGAGACAGAGUCUCACUCUGUCAUCCAGGCUGGAGUGCGGUGGCAUGAUCUCGGCUCACUGCAACCUCUGCCUCCUGGGUUCAAGCAAUUCUUGUAGAGACUGGGUUUCACCAUGCUGCCCAGGUGGGUCUGGAACUCCUGAGCUCAAGCAGUCUGCCUACCUUGGCCUCCCAAAGGCUGGGAUUACAGGUGUGAGCCACCAUGCCCGGCUGAAAAUCACUUUAUUAAGGUGAAGGUGGUACCUUCUUCUUUAGUGGUUGAGUUUAAAAGUAAACAGAAGGCACAUAAUAGAAUAACAGCUGUCAGCAGAUUAAUUGUUUAAAAAUCUAAAGAGAUGUUAAUAGUAGGAAACAUUUAUUGUGAAGACCAAGCCACUAACUGUGCUAACCACACUGUUUGCUUUUGGUGAAUAUUAAAUGAAGGCUGAGACUGCCUAGCAGAGUUGAGAGGCCACCAUUUUAGAUUCAGCCAAAGUGUCUGUCAUUUCUGGUUCUGCGUCUGUAUAGAACUCAUAACAACAAAGGCAGUUUGGUUUAAAAUUUCCAAACUUUUAAUUUUCCUUCUUUCCAGGGAGACUUUCUUUCUGUGUCAAAAAGCCCUGGAUAACUUUUCUUGCCUAAUUAGAGACCACAGAAUUGGGUGACUAAGCCUGCUGUUUCCUUUCAGUGUGGAAAGAUGUGUCUCAGACAGAAAGCCAGGAGAAUAGCACUGCUGCCUUUCACACCUCGAAUGGGUUGCCAGGACAGUAACUGCCACUCACUCACAGAGAAUUGCUUUGCAAAGUGGCAGUUUUAGGCUGUUGUAAUAACAAAUUGUUCAACCAACAGUAAUUUUUAGGCCAGACUUAUGAAAUAAACUCUUGGCUUUAUCGUUAAAACAAAUAACAAAUUAGAGGAAGCCCAAAGUCUUUCUGUUUCCUGAUCUCCAAACCUGUACUUUGGAUAGUGCUGGGCCUUUGGACUAUAGUAUUUAUGGAAUACAAGUUCCUCCCUCCUUAAAAACCUGUCUUGUGUUCCCGUCAUCUCUAGCUGCACUGUCCAGCGCUAACCUUACGUGGUUAUCGAGCGUUUGAAAUGUCAGUUGAGAGGGUCUGUAAGUGGAAAACGCACACCAGGUUUCAGAGACUUAAUACAAGAAGCUUUUAAAACACCUCAAUAAAUUUUAUACUGAUUAUAUGUUAAAUGGUACUGUUUCAAGUAUAUUGGCUAAAUAAAAAUAUUAAUAAAAUAUCAUCUAAUUCUAUUUUUUAAACCAUAACUACCAGAACAUCUAUUGGGCAGGGCCAGCCUAUCACUGCGUUUUGAACUUGUCAUUUACACACUACAUUUAAGGUUUCUGCCAUAUCCAGGUGCCACCUGCUCUAUUAAUUUUUUUGAAAAUUUAAAUUAACUCAAAUUAAGGUAUAAUUUACAUAUAAUAAAGUGCACAGAUCUUGAGUGUAGAGUUCAAUGGGUUUUGGCACUCAAAUGAAGAUAGAGAACGUUUCCUUUACCCCCGAGGGCUCCUUUCCAGGCAGUUCCAUUCUCCAUGUUUCCAGCAACCACUUUGAUUCACCUUUUUAACUUAAAUUUAUUUUUAAAAUACAGUUUAUAUCUGAAAUCCUGGGUUUGAUGUACUGGUUCUAUUUUUCUUUUCUUUUUCUCUUUUUAAGACAGGAUCUUGCUCUGUUGCCCAGGCUGGAGUGCAGUGGCAUGACCAGGGCUCACUGCAGCCUCGACUUCCCAGGCUCAAGUGAUCUUCUCGCCUCUGCCUCCCAAGUAGCUGGGACUAUAGUUGUGUACCACCACGCUUGGCAGAUUUUUUUGAAUUUUAGUAGAGAUGAGGUCUCACUAUGUUGCCCAGGAUGGUCUCAAACUCCUGGGCUCAGAUGAGCCACCAUGGCCAGCCUAUAUUUUUCAAGACACAUGAAAGUGGGUACAUACUAUUGAUAGAAAUAAAAAUGGUUCAUAUAUCACCAUCACAUGUAAGUCCAGGGAUUAAACUUUGGGGGAACAUAGUUCCCUUUGGCCAUUCUUGUCUGCUCACUGUUCUUUGAAUAUAGCGUGCACUGGCUCGCCGUGGACUCCUUACCACUGGUGCCCACCAGCAGUACCCUGUUGCUGCUUCAUUUAUUUGUGUCCCUGUGCUGCACUGUACACACCUGUCCUGUUGUUUUCUGGCUGUUUUCAGAGGCAUCUCCUCCAUGCCAGUGAGAGAGGGAGCUCCUUGAGGGCAGGGGCCAUGAAGUCAUCUCUGUUCUUAGCUCCUGAGGUUCAGUAUGUGUCUGUUGCCUUGAGACAGUAGGAUAACCCUGAGCUUAGUCUGAGUUAUCAAAACCACCUGGGAAAUGGAAGGGACCUUUUCUUUUUAUCUAGAAAGUGCUGAACAUCUUUUCAAGGUAACAGAGGACGAUAACCAGUACACUUCUCAAACAGCGUGCAGUAUUGGGGCACAGAGUCAGCAAACCAAACACCCCAUUAAGGACACAGGGAAAAUGAAGAUGGGGCAAAGGGCAAAUGCUCAUUGGGAAAUUAUAGGCCGAAAAAGCAGAAGAGUGAAACCCAGCUGGGAUUCGUAAACGCCCAAGAUGGGCUUCUGCUGUUUUAAGUUAUCUGAGCUAUGACUUGCCUCAAGUAAAAGUCCUCAGUUCCUGAGUUUCAACUAACCAAGUGAGUUUAGGGCACAUUAAAAAUCUUCAAAAAGUCUCACCCAGUUUUGGCCUAAACGCUACCUUGAGUGGUCUUCUAAUUUUCAUUUUUUUGUUUGUUCCCUUGCUGUGAGCCUGAAUUCUUCUCGGGCAGGGACUGUGCGUACACCUGGUCGUUUCUAUUCCCUUGCCCUAGCAUGGUGACUGGGGCAUAGUAGGUAUUCAGCCAGUGUGUGUUGAAUGGGUGGAUAAAAAGGUGUUAAACACAACUUUACUUAGUGAUUCUGAGAGUAACCUUCCUUUGAAACAGUUUGAUAAUUUCACCUUUAGUGUUCACACUACUUAGCUGUGAUGGAAAUGAAGGUAUAAAAAUUGUAUUACUUACUGGUGAUAAAUCUCGUGCUUUAUUUUUAUCAGUGAAGGUGCUUAUUCAGACACUGUACCAAUGUAUUACCAGAAUAGGGGAUUUUGAAAUGUGUAAGUUGACCUGAUGACAAGGGGUCAGUUAUAUGAGAGGUUUUUUUGGUGAUGAUGAAUUGCUCAGAGCAUUCCCCCAGAUUUUUUCUUCUCUAUUGUUAAGGCUGGUAUAAGAAUUCAGCUCCUGGUCCUGGUUCUUACCCACAGGCUAGCUUAGCUGGACAGGAAAACUAGUGAUAACCAUGCUGGGGCAUUUUCAGUCCAUUUUCCAGUUAAAAAUAAGGAGUUUGAUCAUGAUACCUGGAAAUAUGGCAUUAGCUUGGCAGAUAUGUAUCUUGAAAAUUGCUAAAAUUGCUAAAAUGAAACAUGGGUUUUAUUUAAGGGGGAGAGAGAAUUAAAUGAAUCCGAUAAUGUAGGUUAGUUUUCCUUCUAUUCUAUUUCUUUGUAAGAAGGGAUGUUUUCAUUUGGCCUAGUGAGAAAUUUAAACUCUUGGAGAUUACAAUUCAUUAAAAUGGGUAGAAGAUUAAUAUUUAGUCUGUCAAGAUCAAUACUGCCCCCUCUUUGCACUAAUUGUCAGAAUAUCUUGCGAGGGCUGCUGAAGGGUAGUGGUGUGCGCAGGACCCUCACAUCACAGGGAGAUGAUUCAAAGGCAAACUGUCCUGCACCCUCUGGUAUCGACUUGCAAAUUAGCAUCUGGAAUCUAAUUAAACAAGCUUAAUGAAAGUAGCAGCUGAAUGCUGCUGGAAAAGACAAUCAGCUUUUUUCCCCCCUCUCUGAUACAUAUUCUGUACUAUUGAAGUUGGUCACCAAACACAUCGUGUGAGCACAGUUAAAAAAAAUUAGCAUUUAUUUGAAGAAUAGAAACUGUUUUUCAUUCUGUUAUGCAUUUGGCAUGCUCUGGCGUCCCAUGAGAGCCAUGCCACAGCAGAUAGUGCACAAUAUUUAUAAAUCCAUGACAGGCAAUAAUAGCAACUUGAAAAAUUCUUUUGCUAGAAUCUCAAGUUGAGAGCUGCCAAAAGCUGAGAGGAUCAGAUCUGCAGUGGCAGCUGCUGUGCCCUACAGUUAGAAUUCUAGACUUUGAAGAUGCUCAACUUAAAGAAAUGAAGACUGCAGGCUUAGCCAAUUUUUGCAGGUUUCUAGAGCUCUGGCUCUCUGCCUUUUGAAGAUGAGUUGCUGAAGCUUCUACCACUGCCUGAGGCGUGCUAACACCAGCAGGAUCUUUUUUUUCCCCUAGUCUUAGUGUGUCUUCAGUUUUAAGUAGCACAUGCUUAGUCAAUGCCAACUGUGAUGGUCCUUUCUCUGGUUGCAAUACCGAGGGAUGAGCUCCUACCCUAUACCCUUCAGAGAGAAGCUAUGAAGAUAGGUGGUGACGUAUACAAGCGCCACUUCAGCCGUCUGAUUUAUGGAGUCAUAUCUCAUCACUCGGCAAGUGUUGGCCUCUAGAGAAGCCCUUAUAGAUUGCUAAAGAUGUGAGCAGCUAUCGCCCUAAAGGCUUGUGGUUACCUCACAAGCGUGAUGCCAAACACCUAGCUACUGAGGAAACAGAAUUAAUCUGUCAUUGCAGGCAGCUAUAGAUCCACUUUAAAUAAUGAGAGUUGAUACCAAUAUGGUUUUCUGACAGCAAAUCUUAGAAGUAACUGUGUGUGUGUUUUUUUUGUAAGUCCAGUAUUAGGAAGACACUGAGUUGCAGGUUCAUUUGUGCUUUGCAGAUGGACAGUAGUGUGAGAGAUCUGCAUUAUUUUGAUUAAAAAAUUGUGCUAUUUGGCAUAUAGAAUGGUCCCAAAAGAGAACAUAGUAUGAGUUCAAUAUGGUUGCAUGGAAAGGGGCAUGGGGCUUGGGAGCUAGAGGAUUGCGCUGCAGGUCUGUUUCCUCUGUCCUUACAGCAGGACUCUGGGAAGAGGGGCAUCCUUGUCUGUGCGAUCGGAACAGAGACCUGCCUGCACGUUGCUGUGAGCGUUAGAUGCGGCCUGUAAAAACACCUUAGAUGGUGGCUCACACAAAAUUGGCUCUAAAAUAUGGCAGCUGGUUUUAUUUUUUUAGUUAUUCAAUAGUAGGAUACAAACAUCGCAUAGCAACGAGUAAUGUGAUUAUUUGUGCUGGCAUCAGGCUUGGUGAAUUUAUAGCAUGAUAUAGAUAGAUACAGGCCUUCUUAUCUGAAAGCGUAAUAUUGGAGACAGGCAUAUGUGGUGGUCAUAGACAGUGGUAUAUUAUUUCAUUUACUUUUCAGCAAUUCCUUGAGGUCAGUACUUUGUUGUCUCCAUUUUGUAGAGAAGAAAAUUGGGCCGUAGGGAGGUCAAAUAACUGGCCAGAGGUCACACACUCAGUGGAAGACUCAGAGUCUGAACCCUGGUCAGCCUGACGUUAGAGCCCUCCGAUGGGUUCAGCCACUGGGCUAUAUCUGCCUCUUUGUCAUUCUUUCACAACAGGGAGGGAAAGACAUCUUAUUCCUUUAAUUCUUUAACACUUUCUUAUUCCUGUAAUUCUUUAACAAGACUGGGAAAGACAUCUUAUUCCAGGUGAGCAGAGGUGUGGGCUGCUUGGGCUGUUUCUUUUCUCUGAUGAGGUCUUGUGAAGACGGCAGAAAGCCAAGCAAGUGUCAGACAAGGUGUGUAAAGCUCUUUGGCAGCUCUGUGAUUGGAGGGAACCCAGGAACAGAAAAGUUUAAGGAAGUCAGAGAUAGAGAUGUUAGUAAAUGUAAUAAAAUCACUUGGCUGUGGAAGGUCAUUUUUUUCUUUUAAUUCUAGAUUUUUUUUUUCAUUUUUAAACUGCCCUCCACCCUAAAUAGCUUGUGAUUGUUAUAUUCCCUUAAAAUUUUCAAAUAUUAUUUACAAGAGAGCUGUUUUACAGGAGAGCUGUUUUCUCCAUAUAGCUGAUGUACAGACAGCACAGCCCUCUUCAGAUUUAGUAAUGAGACCAAGAAGUCUUUAAAUAUUGGUGAAUGGCAUUUGUCCAUUUGAGGUGAAUCAUGAAUAACUUGAACAAAAAUAAAAAAAAUAAGCAAGACUAUCAUAUUUGAAUAAUGAGGUGCUCUUUUUUUCCCAACUGCCAAAACUUUUUAAUCUUUGUCAACGAUUGUUCUGUCCUCCGUCUUAUUUAGGUUGCAUCUGUGCGACUCUGAGCUCAGGAGCCCUGACAAGCGGCAUAUGAAUUCUGUAUUCAUUAGUGAUCUUGAUCCAAAUGCCUCUGUCCCUGCCACGGGGGCUCAGGUGUGGAAGCUGCUGGCUAAUCCCACCAGCUGACAUUCAGAGGUUUAAUGACUCCAUAGGAAGGUGACCACUCGCUGGGAGGUUUGCUGGCGGAACCCACACAGCAGACAGUGGAGAUCAAGGAAGACUAUCCGUGUUUAGCCGAAGCACCUUCCUGUGCAACUUGAACCCUGUUGGCAUCAAACACAGAGUUUUAAGUAAAUGCAAAAUUAAACCAAAAAAACCUCGACCUUCGAUAACUAUUAUAAACAAUGAUUUUCUUAUCUGUU